rnacentral:rRNA from 1 species
AACUGUUUAAAAGAUGGUUCUGCUAUCACUCUUGGAUGGACCUGCGGUGCAUUAGCUAGUUGGUAGGGUAACGGCCGUACCAAGGCGAUGAUGCAUAGCUGAGUUGAGAGACUGAUCGGCCACAUUGGGACUGAGACACGGCCCAAACUCCUACGGGAGGCAGCAGUAGGGAAUCUUCCACAAUGGACGCAAGUCUGAUGGAGCAACGCCGCGUGAGUGAAGAAGGGUUUCGGCUCGUAAAGCUCUGUUGUUGGUGAAGAAGGACAGGGGUAGUAACUGACCUUUGUUUUGACGGUAAUCAAUUAGAAAGUCACGGCUAACUACGUGCCAGCAGCCGCGGUAAAU